rnacentral:rRNA from 1 species
GAAUGCUGACAUAAGUAACGAUAAAGCGGGUGAAAAGCCCGCUCGCCGGAAGACCAAGGGUUCCUGUCCAACGUUAAUCGGGGCAGGGUGAGUCGACCCCUAAGGCGAGGCCGAAAGGCGUAGUCGAUGGGAAACAGGUUAAUAUUCCUGUACUUGGUGUUACUGCGAAGGGGGGACGGAGAAGGCUAUGUUAGCCGGGCGACGGUUGUCCCGGUUUAAGCAUGUAGGCGGAGGUUCCAGGUAAAUCCGGUACCUUUUAACGCUGAGGUGUGAUGACGAGGCACUACGGUGCUGAAGUAACAAAUGCCCUGCUUCCAGGAAAAGCCUCUAAGCAUCAGGUAACACGAAAUCGUACCCCAAACCGACACAGGUGGUCAGGUAGAGAAUACCAAGGCGCUUGAGAGAACUCGGGUGAAGGAACUAGGCAAAAUGGUGCCGUA